GGCAACUGCACCACUCUUCCUCUGCACAGGUUUUGAUAAAUCUCCCCCAUUGUGGCUAUUAUGGGACGUAUGUGGUGUAAAAAGGAGGAGCCUGUCAGCGAACUCUGCAGAUGUUCUAUGGCUAGAAAAAGCCUCUAUGGCAAAUCCGGCCAGAUGGAAAAGAUAGGGUAAGAACAUCAUGGCUGGCUGACAAGAAUGAAAAGUAACAAUAAUUACUUAUACCUGCAGCCUGGAUAAAUAUUAAAGACAUUCUAUGGGGAAUCAGCCCAUCCGAGGAAAUGUUUGAGGCUGCUGGUCCUUGGACACUGAGCACUACAGGGAGCAGCUUCCUCAUUAUUUGCUGUGGAGCGCACUUAUUGCUUUUCAUUACGGUGUUGAGGCCAGUUGGAAAAGAAAAGAGAAUGACUCUGAUUAGAGAAGAUAUCACCUAGGAGUCACUGGAUGUAACUGCACUGAAUCUUAACCUCUUCAGGACGCAGGUCAUACAGGUAUAAUGAUGUGCAGCAGAAAAAGACAGAGAAGUUUUGGUCUAAAGCACAGGCUGGAGAUAGACGCUGCCCUGCGCCACAUGAUCCUCGCUGCGGACUGCUGCAUGCAAUUCCAGUUCUAUGACUUUUUCCUGACCUUUCUAAAAGAAAGAAAAUUCCAUUAUCUCUUCAGUGUGGCUGUGAUGGCCGAGGGUCAUGAAAACCAAAGCUUUCACAAUUCCUGCUUUGGAUCUGGAUUAAAUAACCUAUUUGGUAUGGCGCUCUACAUUUCACCAGGAUGCAGAUGUGCAGGAUACCAUCAGAGGCCUAAGACUGUACUUUACAAGUCUGGUGACAUUUGUCAGCAAGACAUAGAAGAAUAAGAAAAGUAUGAAGACUUAUUGCUUCUCUACUUUGGAUACAAUCCUGGUUAUGGAUAAACUAAACUUGUGCUGUAAUAUGGCAAAUCUGCAAGAGGAAGGACUAAGGAAAAGACAAGGAAGAAAAAAAUCCAGCGUAUCUUGUGGUGGAACCUCUUUUCUUUACAGAAGGUGAAAUCUGCAACAAAAUCUGUAGCUAUCCCUCAUCUGCUACAUGUGAAUGGGGUUUUAAUAAAUGCAAAUGUAUUGAACUGCAAUACCUUAUGGAUUUUCUGUGUGGUGAAUGUGGCUUUAGCAUAGCAACUAUAGAAUGACCAUACAUUCCAAAAUAUUGGUGUUUUC